rfam:Cavia porcellus supercont2_2 genomic scaffold, whole genome shotgun sequence.
GGGGAUUUAGCUCAGCGGCAUAAGCACCUGCCUUGCAAGCACGCGGUCGUGUGUUUAAUCCCCG